UGAGUGAACAAGAAAUAAGGUAACAAGUAACAGGGAAUACCGUAUUAUAUAAGAUUAUAGGUCAAUGAAAUUUGUGUAUAAUCUUUAUUUAUUAAUAAAUUAAUUUUUUUACAAUGUUGUUAUUGAUUUUAAUUUCAAUUUUCAAAUAAAUACAGGUAAACAUUUUUGUUUUAUAAGUGGAUGGUUUCACUACUGUGACACGAAGUUGUUUAUAUGCACUAUGCUAUUGUCUCCGCUUCAUUUUGGUGUAGGUCUCCUUCUCUGACGCUGAGCUGAGCAACAUGGCGGAUAUCUCCAAGGUUGAGCUGAAGAAAGAAAUUGCCGCCAUUCUUAAGGAUGCGGACCUCAACCACAAUGUCGGCAAAGAAAGUCAGAGAAGAAAUUGAGGAGAAACUUGACUGUGAUCUUUCCAGCAGG